GUUACAGCAGCCGCGGUAAUACGUAGGGUGCGAGCGUUAAUCGGAAUUACUGGGCGUAAAGCGUGCGCAGGUGGUUAUGCAAGACAGAUGUGAAAUCCCCGGGCUCAACCUGGGAAUUGCAUUUGUGACUGCAUGGCUAGAGUGUGGCAGAGGGGGAUGGAAUUCCGCAUGUAGCAGUGAAAUGCCUAGAUAUGCGGAGGAACACCGAUGGCGAAGGCAGUCCCCUGGGCCUGCACUGACACUCAUGCACGAAAGCGUGGGGAGCAAACAGGAUUAGAUACCCCAGUAGUCC
rnacentral:rRNA from 1 species